rnacentral:rRNA from 1 species
ACAACUUUGAGCGGUGGAUCACUCGGCUCGUGUGUCGAUGAAGAGCGCAGCCAACUGUGUGAAUUAAUGUGAAAUGUAGCUCGCUUAGAACAUCUACAUCUUGAACGCACAUUGCGA